rnacentral:rRNA from 1 species
UGGUGUCGUGAGAUGUCUGGUUAAGUCCGAUAACGAACGAGACCUUAACCUGCUAAAUAGUCAUGUCAACUUUUGUUGGCACUUGGCUUCUUAGAGGGACUAACUAUGUUUAAUAGUUGGAAGUUUGAGGCAAUAACA